GUUGUGAUCAGUGGCACAGAGUCUAGUUGGAGGCCUGUAGCUAGCGGUGUCCCCCAGGGGUCAGUACUGGGUCCAGUCUUGUUCAACUUCUUCAUCAGUGACCUGGAUGAAGGCACAGAGUGCACCCUCAGCAAGUUUGCUGAUGAUACAAAACUGGGAGGAGUGGCUGAUACACCAGAGGGCUGUGCUGCCAUUCAAAGAGACUUGGACAGGCUGGAGAGGUGGGCAGAGAGGAACCUCAUGAAGUUCAACAAAGGCAAGUGCAGGGUCCUGCACCUGGGGAGGAAUAACCCCAGUCACCAGUACAGGUUGGGGGUUGACCUGCUGGAAAGCAGCUCUGCGGAGAAGGACCUGGGAGUCCUGGUGGACACCAAGUUAAGCAUGAGGCAGCAAUGUGCCCUUGUGGCCAAGAAGGCCAAUGGUCUCCUGGGCUGCAUCAGGAAGAGUGUUGCCAGCAGGUCGAGGGAGGUGAUUCUCCCCCUCUACUCAGCCCUGGUGAGGCCGCAUCUGGAGUACUGCGUCCAGUUCUGGGCUCCCCAGUACAAGAGGGAUGUGGCACUACUGGAGCAAGUCCAGCGAAGGGCCACAAAGAUGAUUAGGGGACUGGAGCAUCUCUCUUAUGAGGAAAGGCUGAGAGAGCUUGGCCUGUUUAGCUUGGAGAAGAGAAGGCUGAGAGGAGAUCUUAUCAACGUGUACAAGUAUCUGAAGGGAGGGUGUCGAGAGGAUGGGACCAGACUCUUUUCAGUGGUGCCGAGCGACAGGACACGAGGCAAUGGGCACAAACUGAAACACAGACACUUCCAUCUGAACAUGAGGAAAAACUUUUUCACUGUGAGGGUGACAGAGCACUGGAACAGGUUGCCCAGAGAGGUGGUGGAGUCUCCUUCUCUGGAGAUAUUCAAAACGCACCUGGAUGCAAUCCUGUGCAAUGUGCUCUAGGUGACCCUGCUUGAGCAGGGGGGUUGGACUAGAUGAUCUCCAGAGGUCCCUUCCAACCUCAGUGAUUCUGUGAUU
rnacentral:lncRNA from 1 species